GUGCUGUCUGUGGUGCAAGCGAGUGGACGGGUCUCCAACGGCCCGGGCGCCUCCAUCUACGAUCCAUGCAAAACGAGUUUACAUGCAGAUGAACGAAAAAGCAUGCCAUGCGUUCCAUGGCGCUUCCUGGAACCAACCGAGGCGGCGUGCGCCGACUCACACGGCGAGCGUGCGCGCGGACGAUCUGGAUUCGGCGAGGAACUCACGCGGGUGUUCGUCUCCAACUACUGCGCUACGCUGCGCAGGUCUAGAUCAUCACGCUCUUUUGUCGCAUGCCUCUUGCUUGUGCUGAGUAGACGAGGGUAAAAAAAUGUAUAUAUAGACACAUUUUACUAUGUUUGAUGCUCAGAAGGAUGGCCUAUCGAAAGACUUGCUAGAUAGUGAGGAGGCAAUUGAUGAGCUUGAUAAGGCUAAUUUAGCUAAUCAGGAUAAGAACAAACAGAAGGGCCCAGUCUGGCAUGUUUUGCUCUGAUUCUGAUCAUGAAAACUUUGUCUUGGAGUGUGCUGUUGCUAAUAAGGAAGAGCAACAUGUAGAAGAGAAAGGAAUUGAAUCUGAAGAUGUGUAUCCUUCUGGAUUUCUAAGCUCCACUCCAACAAAACCCCUUGUGGGGAAUGCUGAGGGGACAUCCAGUUCUGGUGGUAAACUUGAAAGUAUGGAGUAUUGCGAGAGUAUUCUUAGAUCUGUAGACUUUUGUGAGUCUGAUGAAGAAGAAUUCAAGGGUGAUGAACUAAAGACUCUUCCCCCUGAAGCUGUCCAGGCCAUACAAAAUAUCUCUUUGAAGAUAUCACUGCUGGAAACCCUUGAUCAUGCUCAAGAUCAAGGGCUGGCCACUGGGAAAAACAAAUGGGGGCAUGUUCUGGUUCAGAAACCUGCUACUAGGGGACAUGGCAAUGUGAAUAUCAUGGAGAAAGCUGCGGCUUACAAGAGGAAGCAGAAUCUCGAAAUUCCUAAAACCUUCAAAGGUAAAUCCUUCACUAACACUGAUCAUAACACUUUGUUUGACCAAAUGAGUAAAAUUGACUUAUGCAUUGGGGGUGAUGAUGCUAAUAAACAUGAAACUACUGAUGAUUUGAUUGAUGGGGAAAAAGAGAGAUGCUUGGCUUUUGCCAAUAAUAACCCUGAAAUUGUUCUUCCAGAUAAUCUUGAAUUAAACCAUGAUGAUUUGUUUGGGACUCCUUUGGAUGGCUGCUCUCUCAAGCCAGUGGGCACUGCUGAUGCCUUAAGGAGAACUCCAAAUGUCUUAACAAAAGUUAGGCCUUGUGGUCUGUCUCACCCUUUCAAAGUUUCUUAAAUGAUAGGGCUUAUUUGGAAUAUUAGAGGUCUUGGUCAAUCUGGGAAAGUUCAGUGCCUUUGUGAUACUAUUGCUCGAUCUAAUCCUGAUUUUAUUGGGUUUCAAGAGACUAAGAGAGAAAUUAUUUCUGAGGGUUUCCUCAAAGCUAUUGAUAGGACUAAUAAUUUUGACUGGCAUUAUUUACCUGUUGUUAAUACUGCUGGUGGGAUCCUUUUGGGUCUUAGAAAAAGUUUAUUUGAAACCAUUGGUUUUGUUAAUCAUGAGUUUUCUAUUAAAGCCACUGUUAAAAACAAUGAGGAUGGUUUUGUUUGGCACUUGGUGAUAGUAUAUGGCUCUGUGUCCCCAGAGUUUAAAAUGGAUUUUGUUGCUGAACUUCAUGAUAUCUUAGACUCUGCAUCCUAUCCUAUUUUAAUUUGUGGUGACUUCAACCUGGUUAGGAAUGAGAGUGAGAAGAGUAGUGGAUUAGUUAACCAUCAUACCACCUUCCUUUUUAAUGAUUGGAUUAAUAGAUGGGGACUGCUGGAGAUUUCUAUCUCUAAUAGGGGCUAUACUUGGUCCAAUAAUCAAGAUAACCCUAUUUUUCUGUGUUGGACAGAGUUUUUGCCUCUGUGGACUGGGAUUCUCACUUCUCGAUGUCGUCCCUAACUGCUCUCCCUAGAGUGGGGAGUGACCAUACUCCCUUAGUGCUAGACACUGGAGGGAGGAAAUCAUCCAGUCCUAAGAUGUUCCGUUUUGAGAAAUGGUGGCUGUCAUAACCUGGCUUCCACCAGAUGGUGCGUGAGACUUGGUCGGCUACUUCUUCCUCUAUCUCUUCUGUAGAUAACUGGUUAUCUAAAACCAGACUGCUUAGGAAGAAGACAAAAGGCCGGGCCAUUAAUAUUGAGGCUGCUUUAAGGAAAAAGAAAAAAUCCCUCCUUAUGGAGUUUGACCUGCUUGACGUUCUAUCUGAAUCCCAGCAGUUGUCUGCUGCUGAUCAUGAUAGAAUGAAAGCUGUGAAAACAGAAUUGGAAGAGAUUUGGAAAAAAGAGGAAACGGCCUUGUGGCAAAAAUCUAGAGACAGAAAAAUUCUUGAAGGGGACCGUAACAAUGCCUAUUUUCAAGCCCUAGCUAAUCACAGGCAUAGGAAAAACCAUCUUUCUGAACUAGUGGGCCCUUCUGGACCUGUGACUUCCACUGAAAACAUGAUGGGAGUAGCUACUGAAUUCUACAAAAAUUUAUUUGCCUAUGAACCUAAACCAGAUUUGCACUUAGGAACUGGUUUUUGGUCUGAGAUAGAAAUGAUUAGUGAGGAUGAGCAGAGAGACUUAGAGAGAUCCUUUUCUGAGGAAGAGAUCAAAGAAGCAAUUAUGAGCUCGUAUGCCAGUGGGGCUCCUGGUCCUGAUGGGCUGUAUUUCCUUUUUUAUCAAAAAAUUUGGGAUCUAAUUAAAAAUGACUUUAUAUGGAUGGUCAGGGAUUUUGAAAAUGGGGAUUUGGACAUCUAUAAGCUUAAUUAUGCCAUCAUCACCCUUAUCCCUAAAAUUCCCCAGGCUAGAGAGAUGAAAAACUUCAGACCUAUUAGUCUUAGUAACUGUGCUGUAAAAAAAAUUCUCCAAGGCCAUGAAUACUAGGGUUUCCCCUAGCUGUGAUAAAAUCAUUUCACACAACCACACUGCUUUUAUUAAAGGGAGGUUUAUCUUAGAGAGUGUGGUGAUGGCCCAUGAAGUUAUUCAUGAGGUUCACAGAACUAAUUCCAGUGGUUUGAUUCUUAAACUUGAUUAUGAGAAAGCCUAUGAUAGAGUCAGUUGGGAUUUUCUGGAGGAAAUGCUUCUUUCUAGAGGCUUUGGGGUUAAAUGGGUUGCCUGGGUUCUCAGCACCUUGAAACAUGGGACUUUCUAGGUUAGAAUUAAUGACACUAAUGGGCCACACUUUGUGGGGAAAUAGGGCUGAAACAAGGUGACCCCCACUCCCCUCUUUUAUUUAACUUAGUGGCUGAUGUCUUUUCUAAGAUGCUGGUGAAAGCUGUCAAUAAUGGGUUAAUUGGUGGGCUCCUCCCACAUGCCAUCCCUGGUGGGGUGGUUAGUUUGCAAUACGCUAAUGAUACCAUUUUGUUUAUCCAGGAUUCUGUGGAAUAUGCCAAGAAUUUGAAAUGGAUUCUGACCUGUUUUGAAAAGCUUUCUGGCUUAAAAAUUAAUUUUCAUAAGAGUGAUUUACAUACCAUUCAUGUUUCUGAUGCAAUGUCCAGAGAAUUUGCCUAGAUUUUUUGCUGUCAAUUUGGUGAAUUUCCCUUCAAGUACCUCGGUGUGCCCCUGCACUUUAAAAAACUUAGAAGGGAAGACCUGCAACCUAUCAUUGACAGGAUUAUUAGGAAUAUUGCUGGCUGGUUAGGCAAGCUCUUGUCUUAUAGGGGCAAGCUGAUCUUACUAACCACAUGUAUUGCUAGCAUUCCCUCUUAUCUCAUGGCCAUGAUGAAAUUUCCCAAAUGGGCUAUUGACAUGAUUACCUCCCAAAUGUCUCACUUUUUUUGGGGUAAUGUGGGUGAUGUUCAUAAAUAUCAUCUAGCUAACUGAGGCCUUGUGGCCCAUAGGAAAGAGUUUGGUGGUCUGGGUGUCCCUAAUCUCAGGGAGUUUAAUAUGGCUCUCCUGGCAGCAUGGGGAAAAAUAUUCUAUGAUGGGAGGGAGGGAGAUUGGAAAAAACUUUUAUGCUUUAAAUAUGCUACUGACAAACCAAAUAUUCUUUAUGCUAAACCUGCCUUGGGAUCUCCAUUUUGGAAAAGCAUCUCCUGGGCUUUUGCUGCUGCAAAAAACUUUUGGAGAUGGAACCCUGGGAAUGGUGAACAUAUUGCUUUUUGGCAUGAUAUUUGGGUUGGGGAAUGUUCCCUUAAAACUGCCUUUUCGGAUCUGUAUGCUAUAUGUCAACAGCAGGAUGCCACCUUGUCCCAGGUUUGGGAUGGAGUACAACUGUGUCUCACCUUCAUGAGAUGUGUGGAUGAGUCCAAGUUAAACAAAUGGAACAUGUUAGUUGACCUGGUUAAACAAACUACUUUAUCCGUCCAAUCAGAUAGCCCCGUCUGGGGCUUGGAGUCGAAUGGUCAAUACUCUGUUAAAUCAUUUUACAAGUUGAUUAACUUUGGUGGGGUUUCCUCUGAUAUUAGAGAUUUCAUAUGGAAGAUUAAAGUCCCCCCGAAUAUCAAUGUUUUCUUGUGGCUGAUGUAUAAUAACAAAAGCUUGACUAGGGAUAACCUUGCCAAAAGAAGACAUGUUGAAGAUAAAACUUGUGUGUUUUGUGCUGAACCAGAAUCCAUUCAACACCUAUUGUUUGAUUGCAUUGUUGCGACUAAGAUUUGGGCUACGGUUGCUAAAGCUUUUAACAUAACCCCUCUUGUUUCUUUUGAAUCUCUAUCUCCCUUCUGGAAGAAGAAAAAACAAUGUGAAGCUAUUAAUACUGCCACAUCUGCUACCUUGUGGUGCUUAUGGCGUUUGUGCAAUGGUUUUGUCUUUCAGGGGCGAAGCUGGCGAGAUAUGCGUUGUGUGUUGGAUCAGGUGGGGGCAACAAUCAGGCAGUGGAAAAUCUUAUGUUCAGAGGUCCAGAGUGCUCUACUUCUCCGGUGCUUAAGGCUUUUGGAUCGGCGAAGAGGGAAACUGCUUAGAAUCGUCUGGAUUAGCUGAAACGAACAAAUAGACUAUCUACCUUUCAAUGAAAAAACUCUCUGUGAGAGAUGUAAUAGGGUUGUAGCUUUAAGACCCUGAUGUUUGUUCUGUGGCAGCUACUUUUGGUUUUCGCCGAGAGCUGUUAAACAGUCUGGUUCUGUCGUGGUUGCCUUGGCUUUAAUAAAGUUGGGGCGGGGGGCAACCCCUUUCUUUUCAAAAAAAAAUUAUUAUGUUUGUUCACUUAUUUUAAUAUGUUGAAAUACCGGAAACAUCUUAUAUUUG
rnacentral:lncRNA from 1 species